AUGCGCCAGAGAGCUUCCCGCACCCCGCCGCACGUCCCGGAGCUGGGUUGCGCGCGCACAAUCUUGCCCUUCCCCGCCCCUCCUGCUAGGGUGGUGGGGCGCGUGCGUCCGUGGCGGCCGGCUCUGGGCUGAGAGAGCGGCGGCGGGUAGCGCAGCGCAGCGCGCGAGAGGUAACGGCCGGGCGCAAACGCCCCACGUAGGAAGAUGGCGAUUCUACUUGACUUUGGACGUUUGGCCUGAGUUCUGAUGGAGCUGGAUUUUUCUUGUUUUUUUUAUGGGAAAUGUUUGAAUAUUCAUGCUGUGAAAGAAGAAAACAUCCAAUGGCUUCAGAAUCUAUGACCCCAGAAUCAGCAAAACACUAUCAAAUAAAAGGGAAAAGGCAGCAGCAGCAAAAGCAGCAGCAGGAUAGAUCUCUGAACAGUGAUGGCGAAGAAAUCUUCGUAUUUGAAGCAAAUGAAGCUUGGAAGGAUUUUCAUAGCUCUCUUCUUCACUUCUAUGAAGCUGGGGAACUCUGUGAUGUUACAUUGAAGGUUGGUUCAAAGCUAAUCUCCUGCCACAAGUUGGUUCUGGCUUGUGUUAUCCCUUACUUCAGAGCUAUGUUUCUUUCUGAAAUGGCUGAGGCAAAACAGACAUUGAUUGAGAUCAGGGACUUCGAUGGAGAUGCAAUAGAAGAUUUGGUGAAGUUUGUCUAUUCCUCCCGACUUACAUUGACUGUCGAUAAUGUCCAGCCUCUCUUAUAUGCAGCCUGCAUUCUUCAGGUGGAGCUAGUAGCAAAAGCUUGCUGUGAAUAUAUGAAACUACACUUUCAUCCCUCAAACUGCCUGGCAGUGAGGGCCUUUGCAGAAAGUCACAACCGUAUUGACUUGAUGGACAUGGCUGACCGAUAUGCUUGUGAACACUUUACUGAAGUGGUGGAAUGUGAGGACUUUGUGAGUAUGUCACCUCAGCACCUCCAUAAACUCUUGUCUUCCAGUGAUCUGAACAUAGAGAAUGAGAAGCAGGUUUAUAGUGCUGCUAUCAAGUGGCUUCUUGCUAAUCCACAGCAUCAUACUUCAUGGUUGGAUGAAAUACUUGCUCAGGUACGCCUGCCUUUGUUGCCUAUUUGUUUCCUUAUGGGCGUUGUGGCAAAAGAAGAGAUCAUCAAGCAGAAUCUAAAAUGUAGAGAUUUACUGGAUGAAGCAAGAAACUACCACCUUCACCUGAGCAGCAGGGCAGUGCCAGACUUCGAGUAUUCCAUCCGCACAACACCAAGGAAUGAGACUGCUGGUGUACUAUUUUGUGUUGGUGGUCGCGGUGGAUCAGGUGACCCAUUUCGCAGCAUUGAAUGCUACUCUAUAAACAAAAACAACUGGUUCUUUGGUCCUGAAAUGAACAGCAGGAGAAGACAUGUGGGUGUAAUCUCUGUGGGAGGUAAAGUCUAUGCAGUAGGUGGGCAUGAUGGAAAUGAACAUUUAGGCAGCAUGGAAAUGUUUGAUCCUGUCGCUAAUAAGUGGAUGAUGAAAGCAUCAAUGAACACCAAGAGGAGAGGAAUUGCUCUAGCCUCCCUUGGUGGACCCAUUUAUGCCAUAGGAGGGUUAGAUGACAACACUUGCUUCAGUGAUGUGGAGAGAUAUGACAUUGAAUCUGAUCGAUGGAGUGGAGUAGCGUCAAUGAAUACGCCCAGAGGAGGAGUUGGCUCAGUGGCCCUUGUGAACUAUGUGUAUGCUGUUGGUGGCAAUGAUGGUGUAGCUUCUCUCUCCAGCGUAGAGAGAUAUAACCCCCAUCUGGAUAAGUGGAUAGAAGUGAAAGAGAUGGGUCAACGAAGAGCUGGCAAUGGGGUUAGUGAACUCCAUGGUUGCUUAUACGUUGUAGGUGGCUUUGAUGACAACUCUCCAUUGAGCUCUGUUGAAAGGUUUGAUCCUCGCAGUAACAAAUGGGAGUAUGUAGCAGAACUUACAACCCCCAGGGGUGGAGUUGGCAUAGCAACACUAAUGGGUAAAAUUUUUGCAGUUGGUGGUCAUAAUGGCAAUGCAUACCUGAACACAGUGGAAGCCUUUGAUCCAGAGAUGAACAGGUGGGAGCUUGUUGGAUCUGUUUCUCACUGCAGAGCUGGAGCAGGUGUAGCUGUGUGCUCUUGUCUUAGUAGUCAGAUCCGUGAUGUUGGUCAGGGAUCCAACAAUGUGGUUGAUUGUAUGUGAACUCAGAUUCAAGCCCCGAGCAACUCUCCAGAAUUUCAGAAGAUCCUGAUAAGACUCCAGGAUGGAGGCACAUGACGACAACAGCGUUGCUCUGGGGUUUUUAAUUAUUAUCCUACAUGGUAGAUAAAUACUGAAUGACUCUUAUGUGUGGUAACUAUGAAAAGCUGAGUCCUAAUUUUCAAGUUUUCUGACGUUUAUCUGAUUCAGAAAAGUCUGGGUAAACAUGAAAUAAGGACCCUGUUUUUUAUUUGAAAGCAGAUAGCCCUUUAUAACUUUCUGAAGGUACAAAAAAUAUUUGAGGGGCAUUAAUCUGGAGCAUUUAUAAUUACAUAAAAUAUACAUAGGCUGUGGUUAAAGAGUUGCACUUUGAAUUGUUGAGCCUUAAAACUACUUCCCUCCCGCCCACUCUCCCAAAAAACAAGAAAACUUUGAUUCUAGGAUACAUACUGGAGUGUGUUUUUAAUAUGUACAUUCUGAUAAAUACAAGAGCCUUUUAAAAAAAAAAAGCCUAGUUCUGUAGCACUUUAGACAGGAAUAAAGCAUCUUAACCCUUUGGAGGUUAUUUUUCCUAUUGUAUACCUGAGGUUCAAGAUAUAGAGGUUCAUUACCUGACUGUCAGGGGGCUGAGAAGCAGGCACUGAGCAUCUCUGAAAAUCAAAUUAGUUGCUCUUGUUACAAAGCUGAGAAUAAAAUCCAGAGUUCUGGCCUGUUUAUGUGGGAUUUAGCCACUGGAACAUGUCUCCUCUCUCAUGCCUCCAGUUAACCCUAUAUUAAGAACCACCUUAAGAGUGAAAGCAUGCGUGAGGCUUCCUGUAUAACUGUCUUAUUUUAAUAGAAGUGAUUUGUCUAGAUAGGCACCGUUUACUGGUCCUUUCUUACAAAUUACUGUAUUCCUGAAAACAGGAAUGCACAAUGGGGAAGAAAUCCCUUUUUCUAAAUGUUAUUUUCAGCUGCUUACAUGUUCAGUUUUAGUAAUCCAGUGAUACGGUGUGAGGUUAGCGUCACUUUCAGGAAGAGUACAGAUGUGAUGGUUUCAGACACAAACAGGCUUACUUAUCUUGUGGAUAUUCUAGUCUGAGCCCCAGAAUGAAACAAAACUUCAAAUGAAGAAUUGCAUCUGUUGGAGUCUAAAGUCUCUUUAAACAAAAGGAAGUUAGUAGCAACACAAGUGAUACAUCAAGGGAUUAACAGUCUUUCCUAGUUGCAGUUUGUCUGUCAGAUGCAGUGAUAAAUUCUAAUUCAAAAAUAGACCUAAACUGUGCUGUCAUUAGACUGUUUCCCCACUGAAAUACCAGGAACCUAUAUUUAAGCCAUUAAUCAGCUUUAUUUAGUGUAUAAUUGUAUAUAAAUAUUUAUUUAAAAUUUGUUUAACUUUAAAUGUGUUUGAGAACCUCUUUCAGGCUUUUCAAGAUUACCACCUCAACCAUUAUUUAUAACAUGGUUCCUGCUGGUAAAACUGAGAUGUUCAUAGGAAUUUUUUACAUCUUGUGUAGGUGCUUGCCUUUGUCUCAGUAGCAUGAAGUGGUACCCUCCUAUUCAAACUGUCAUCAUUUUGUUGACUGAUUUGCAGUUAAGGUUUAAGCAACUGCCUUUUGGGAAAGGGCAAUAAGUGUUAGAUACAGGAGAACUUCAAACAGCAUCUUCAAGUACAGCAAAUUACGCUUAAAUAAAAAUAAUUUAGAGACAAAACACUGCCAUGCAGAGUGAGAAGGCAGCUAGCGACUACCUCUACGACAGGCUGAGAACUUGCGGACUCUCACAGCAACUCAAUGAACAGGUCUUGUCCUCCCCCUGACAUCCCAACUCCAAGGAAUAAGAAUAUACAUCAUGGAUUGCAGCUGUGGUAUGCAAAAACACUUCUCUGAACUUUCCGAUGGACAUGUGACUGCUGUGGUUUUUGAGAUGUUGCAUAAUAACUUUUGGAGGUGGACUUCCUUCUUGUCGGCACUUCUUCACAUGUUAUUUUUGCUGGUUAUUCAUUUAUAGAAAUGUUUAUAGACCACCAACACACUGAACCUUUCAGACAGUACAUUGCACUUUGUCCUUUUAAAGACAGGCAUCAUCAACCAUGAGGCCUCCCUUCAUCUCUUCAAGGUGGCCAAGUGCCACCCUAGAAACAUAGUUUAAAAGUUCUCCAGUGUAGUCAGAUCCCUUCCAUCUUGCUUUAUUUUCCCUUCCAGGCGCUUUGUAUCCAAUGAUUCAGACAGACAGACUGCUUCUGAGGCUUCCAAAGUGCAAAAGAGUUCAAGGUAUUAACCACCUUGAGCACCAGUUAAGGCGUAUUUGUUUCCAGCCUCAGCCACUGUAAACCCUGCCUAGUGUAGUGUACCAGUUCAGUCAUACUACUGUUCAGUGCCAGAGUGCACACCGCUGUACUGAGUUCGGCAAAGAAUUCUAGAAAGAUAGGAGGGAAAAAGAAAAGUGAUUAGUCAGUUUUUACACAGGAGACACAUCUGAAGGGAAAAGAAAUGCAACAAGAGAAAUAACAGGAAAUAUUUUAUAAUAAGAAAGUAACAUGAUUAAACAUAAAAAGAACAGGAGUACAUGUGGCACCUUAGAGACUAACAAAUUGAUUAGAGCAUAAGCUUUCGUGGGCUACAGCCCACUUGAUUGGAUGCAUAGAAUGGAACAUAUAGGAAGACAAUACACAUACAGAGAAGGUGGAAGUUGCUUGUGCAACUUAAAUCUGCUCCCUUGUACGUAUGCAUUAUGAUACUGUCUUUCAGUUACAUAAUCACGUUAUAUUUUGCAUAGGACUCCUGCCUUAUUCAGUAAAUGGGAAGUUAUUCAGUAUUUCCUUGUACCCUCUGUGUUCAAUGUGUGGCCUCAGGCCUCAUUUACCAGAUACCAUCCAAACUCUGCACUGAAUAAAAAAUUAAUUUCUUCAUAGCA